rnacentral:lncRNA from 1 species
UUUUGCUGCUUUGUAGGGGCUCUGACUCAGAAGCAGGACCUGGGGCUCCCCUCUCAGGGACCCCGCUUUGCCCUUCCUCAGCAAUCCUUUUUUUCUUCCCUCUCCUUUCAGUCCAAGCAUCUUGGUGAUUGUGAUUGGCCAUGGCUUCAUAGUGCAUUCUCAUGUCAUGAGGAGCUGUGUUAGAUCAGCUCCAGGUGGGCUGACCCAUUCCACCUGCAACUCAGAGCCUGCAACAGCUGGCUGGCCUUUAAUUUCCUGAAUUGGAAACAACCCUCGCUCAAGGAAUUCGGCCAUUAUGAAUCUCGUGCUGUUGCCCAGGCUGGAGUACAAUGGUGUGAUCUCAGCUCACUGCAACCUCUGCCUCCGGAGUUCUCCUGCCUCAGACUCCCUAGUAGCUGGGACUGCAGGCACCCGCCACCAUGCCCAGCUCCCCUCCCUUAAAGGCAUAAGUAGUGCAAGCUGACUCCGAGCACAUCCAGGAAUGCGCUUACUGAUGAGAUAUCGAGGCAAGCUAAAUCAGCAGUUCCUGAGGACGCGCUUGGGGGAUGGCACCCAAAGCCCCUGCAUUAUCUCUUUGUGAUAGUUUGAGCCCCUGCACCUGGAACUGUUUACUUUUCUGUAACUGUUUCUGUAACCAAUUAAUCUUUCUUAAUUGGUUUGCCUGUUCUGCUUCUGUAAAAAUUGCUUCAGCUAAACUCCCUCUCCCCUAUUUAGACCACGAUAUAAAAAGAAAUCUAGCCCCUUCUUCGGGGCCGAGAGAAUUUUGAGCUCUAGCCGUCUUGUUCGCCGGCAAUAAAAGGACUCCUGAAUUA